UACAGAGGGUGCAAGCGUUGUUCGGAAUUAUUGGGCGUAAAGCGCGUGUAGGCGGCUUUGCAAGUCGGGUGUGAAAGCCCUCAGCUCAACUGAGGAAGUGCGCCCGAAACUGCAGAGCUUGAGUACCGGAGAGGAUGGCGGAAUUCCCCAAGUAGAGGUGAAAUUCGUAGAUAUGGGGAGGAACACCAGUGGCGAAGGCGGCACUCUGGGCCGGAACUGACGCUGAGGAGCGAAAGCGUGGGGAGCGAACAGG
rnacentral:rRNA from 1 species